rnacentral:rRNA from 1 species
UACGUAGGUGGCAAGCGUUGUCCGGAUUUACUGGGCGUAAAGAGCGCGCAGGCGGUCGUUCAAGUCGCGUGUGAAAGCCCCCGGCUCAACUGGGGAGGGUCACGCGAUACUGAUCGACUCGAAGGCAGGAGAGGGUAGUGGAAUUCCCGGUGUAGUGGUGAAAUGCGUAGAUAUCGGGAGGAACACCAGUGGCGAAGGCGACUACCUGGCCUGUUCUUGACGCUGAGGCGCGAAGGCUAGGGGAGCAAACGGG